rnacentral:rRNA from 1 species
UACGGGGGGAGCAAGCGUUGUUCGGAUUUACUGGGCGUAAAGGGCGCGUAGGCGGUCAGCACAAGUCAGUUGUGAAAUCUCCGAGCUUAACUCGGAAAGGUCAACUGAAACUGUGCGACUAGAGUGCGGAAGGGGCAACUGGAAUUCUUGGUGUAGCGGUGAAAUGCGUAGAUAUCAAGAGGAACACCUGCCGCGAAGGCGGGUUGCUGGGCCGACACUGACGCUGAAGCGCGAAAGCCAGGGGAGCGAACGGG